rnacentral:rRNA from 1 species
AACGAACGCUGGCGGCAUGCCUAACACAUGCAAGUCGAACGAGACCUUCGGGUCUAGUGGCGCACGGGUGCGUAACGCGUGGGAAUCUGCCCUUUGGUUCGGAAUAACAGUUAGAAAUGACUGCUAAUACCGGAUGAUGACUUCGGUCCAAAGAUUUAUCGCCAGAGGAUGAGCCCGCGUAGGAUUAGGUAGUUGGUGGGGUAAAGGCCUACCAAGCCGACGAUCCUUAGCUAGUCUGAGAGGAUGAUCAGCCACACUGGGACUGAGACACGGCCCAGACUCCUACGGGAGGCAGCAGUGGGGAAUAUUGGACAAUGGGCGCAAGCCUGAUCCAGCAAUGCCGCGUGAGUGAUGAAGGCCUUCGGGUCGUAAAGCUCUUUUACCAGGGAUGAUAAUGACAGUACCUGGAGAAUAAGCUCCGGCUAACUCCGUGCCAGCAGCCGCGGUAACAC